AGCACUAUAUGCUGUAUAAUAUAUUAAAACGGUCAGGUCUGGAAAGAAGCAGCCAUAGUAUGAUUAGUACAGGUAUAUAAAAAUAUU
rnacentral:SRP_RNA from 1 species